rnacentral:rRNA from 1 species
CAAGUCGAACGAGAGGCUCUUCGGAGUAGUAAAGUGGCAAACGGGUGAGGAAUGCAUGGGUAACCUACCCUUGAGAAGGGAAUAACCCGCCGAAAGGUGAGCUAAUACCCUAUACGCUUCUUUUUUUAUGAAGAGGGAAGGAAAGCUAAGCCGAGGGCUUGGCGCUCAAGGAGGGGCUCAUGUCCUAUCAGCUUGUUGGUGGGGUAACGGCCUACCAAGGCUACGACGGGUAGCUGGUCUGAGAGGAUGAUCAGCCACACUGGCACUGAGAUACGGGCCAGACUCCUACGGGAGGCAGCAGUGAGGAAUAUUGCGCAAUGGGCGAAAGCCUGACGCAGCGACGCCGCGUGGGGGAUGAAGGUUUUCGGAUUGUAAACCCCUUUUGUGAGGAAAGAGAAAGUGGGUAACCACUUAGACGGUACCUCAAGAAAAAGCCACGGCUAACUUCGUGCCAGCAGCCGCGGUAAUACGAAGGUGGCGAGCGUUGUUCGGAUUUACUGGGCGUAAAGAGCACGUAGGCGGUUGGGUAAGCCUCUUGGGAAAGCUCCCGGCUUAACCGGGAAAGGUCGAGGGGAACUACUCAGCUAGAGGACGGGAGAGGAGCGCGGAAUUCCCGGUGUAGCGGUGAAAUGCGUAGAUAUCGGGAAGAAGGCCGGUGGCGAAGGCGGC